rnacentral:lncRNA from 1 species
GGAAGUACCAGGCUAUAAGUUUCCAUUAAGGAGGUUUGGUCAGGACUGGACUCAGCACUGGCACAGAGGCAGCACAGCUAUGUGGGAAGAACACAGGCUGGUCUGCAGGUGUCUAGAUUUGGAUCCUAGCUCUGUUACUUACUACUUUGUGACUUUGAGCAAAUUCACGUCUCUGAAAGAUCUGUAGUGUCAUGAGGCAAAGUGCCAGCCAAGCAGGGACGCUCUGGCAUCAGACAGCUUGGGUUCUAAUCCUGGCUCCACCACCCACUAGCUGUGUGAUCUUGGGAAAGUGACUUCAUCUCUCUGUGCACCAGGACCAGAGACCAUGCUGGGAAGCCUGGCUGCUCUUUGAGGACUGAGAUGAACUUAGCAAUGCAGAGAAGAACAAAGAGAGGCUUGUGCUCACCGUGUUCCAGAGGGAUCACCGUGUUCCCUUUGUUCAUUUGAGGACAUGAAUACAACUAUGGUCUUUGGACAAAAGGCAUAUGCCAGGCAGUAUGAAUGGUCUCUCUUGUCUGUGCAAUUAGUAUGUAAGAGCACGUGAACUGGUGCCUGGGACCUCUACCUGUUUUAGUAUGAUAGCACCACAGUAAAGGGCCUGGACUUUGUAUGAGCUUGGGAAAAUCAUGUCACCUCUGCAAGUCUUGGUUUCCCUGGGUGUUAAAUGUCAAUUUAAGUAAAAUGCUAUCUACUUUGUUUUGGAGACUUUCUAUGAGAAUCUGAUAAACUAUAACCUGUGAAAGAGUUUCAAAAGUUGUAAAAGAUUGAAGGGAAACUGAGAUUCAGUGAGACAAGGACAUUUGUUCAAAUAAAUCUCGUAACUCUGAAGAGGCCUGGAUCUGAGAAGAAUGGGUGCCAGGUAGUCUGACUGGGCUAGUUUUGCCCCAUCAUGGCCCUGUGACAUCCGUUCUGCCUCCCAGCUAGACUGGACUCCCCCAGACCAGGAACUGUGUCCUGGCUCUUCCUAGCACCCAGCUCAGGGAGGGCUAUCAAGGCUGCUGAAAGCAGAUAAGGGAAACUGAGGUACAGAGGAGGGGAAGAGCCAUGAUUGACUUCAUGCAACUCAUCAGGGAGGGCACCCAGAUUUACACGUGGAUCUGUGUCACUACAAAGCAGUGCCCUUGACUUAACACUCCAUCACUUUCCAUACAAGCUUCAAACUGAACUCCACCUUCAUUAGCUUGGUGAGCGCAGACCGCUGAACUCUUCUAACAUCUGUCUUAGAGGUUAUGUGUUGGCUGCUGCGUUCAGAGCUAUCCUAAAAGUAACUGAAACAAGGGAUUUUUGACUCCAUGGCUAAACAGUUUCUGGGGAGCAGACCUUGAUUCUACCAUUACUUAGAAAACAAAUCAAAUUAGAGUCAGACUAGUGAUGUUGUCAGAACUUUUCAAACAUAAAGACCCAUGAAUGGACAUGUACACUUGGGAUCAAAAGCACUCUCCUCUUCCAAACAGCAGUCUACACUUGGCCUUUUGAGAGGCUGAGCUAUUGCCAAGGACUAUUUAGAUGGAAGAUUUGAUUGUUGGUCAAGGAGACACUGAAGAAGAGAUAAGAUGGUGUACUGGAAUGGAAGGAAGGCUCUGGACAUCAGAACUUUGGGCCACUGUACUGCUGUGUAAAUUUGCGAAACCUACUUAAUCCUUAUGGACUGUUUCCUCAUCUGGAAAAUGAGUUAAAUGAGAUCCAUUUUAUAAAAUUGUUGUAAUGAUUAUAUAAGUAAACACAUAGUAAUAUUAUUUGAUUUUAUUAUUAUUAUUAUGACUUGUCACUCAAAGCAUUUAGCUUUGGUGUCUCUAAUAUUCAGUACUCACAUUUAUGUUCAAAUUUGGAUGCUAGGUAGAAAUGAAGACUUUGUAUCUGCCACCAGAGAAGGCUAUUUAUUAUUUGUCAUUGCCUGUCACGAACUCACAAAGAUAGUAUUUGCCUAUCCAAAGGUAUCUAAUUCCUCAGUUUCUUAUGUGACUAUAAAGGGGCCUACUUUGAUCUUACCAUGAACUCAAAUCCUUUCGAAAUUUCAAUUUGUC